UCUAAAUAUGAUGCGCACAGGUGCUACAGACUACAUAACGAACUAUUGUGCUGCAAGUGAGCUUCGAACAUUUUAAUGAAAUUCUCAGGUGCCAGGUGUUGCCACAAAAUUUGACACUCCAUAAUGGCCUUCAUCUUUUUUUACUAGGUCUAUCCACUCAGCUUUGCUUCAUCAUCUGGUAUGUCAAUCAUUUUUAGUUAAGCUUAGUUGAAGUUCUGACAGUUUUCGGCUUUCCUAGGACUCGAUCAACUAGAUAUAUUUUGUUGGACACAUAUAUGUAAAGAAUACUUGUAUUCAGGAUUUCUGAAAAUUGCUCUUCAACUGGAUAAGUAUCCAUUUCUGAAACACACAAAACUGCAUCUUCAAAUAUUUAUUAAGUUAUUUAGGUCGAUGCAUCAUUCAUGUAUGCCCUAACUAUAUAGCAGUACAUAAUUAUAUAUGAAAAAUAGUUUUUUAUCUAGCAGAUUAACUCCUGUAAGUACAUAUGGAUUUACCCAGGUUCCAUUGCAUAAUUCUCUUACUCCCCCUUAACACAAGACCCCUCUUUCAAGGUGCGGUUGCAACGAAUUGGGACUUUAAACAUUCUACUUGAUUGUAGAAGAAGGAUUCCUAGCAUGUUUGGGAUCUCCUAUCAUUUUUUGUUUGUUAUAUUAUGUUCCAGAGUUACAUAUAGAGUUCAAUUUUCAUGUGUCGAGCACUGAAAUAAUUGGCAUGGGUGCUGCAACAAUUGCAUCCAGCAGCUUUCUAUCAUGCAUCUCAGUAGUGCAGGAAAUAAUGAAGGAUUUGCACCAAUUGGUCCUUUGAAAACAAACCAACCCUGUCAGAAGAUGACAACAAUCUAGAAGCCAUACCUCAGAAUGAAAACACAGAACAAAUCCAUUUUGAGUUGGGAGAGGUAAACGGUAAUAACCAUCCAAAAUUUUCAGAAAUUUACUGCUAAGAAAAAUAUCUAAUGAAUUACAGUUUUCCCCACACAAGAAUACAACCUCCACAACAGAUUGCAAAAAAAAAAAAGGAAAAAAACAAUACCAAGUGGUGCAUCAACUAAAAAAAGGUAUAUGACUAUUUAAUUCAUAUCAGUAUCACUGUUCACUACAGCGGUGCAAGCUUACUAAUCAUUAAUUUUCUGCAUAAAAGGCAUAAGAAGAAAGCCACUAAAGAAUUAUUCUCAACUACAUAAAAAGAUUCACUUCGCCAGGUAAACAUACAUGACAUCUAUCAGUAAGUAAAAGAAUAUCAGGACAUAAUUUUAGCUUUUAUUUCUUGCAGCAAUUGCCUUGAGUUUUGACUUAAUCAGGUCAAGCUCAUCUAAAUGAAAGAUAUAAAAUAUACUUAUCUCAAUGUAACACAAUCUUUACAUGGUCUGACAAAGCCCUUUUACUAAAAAAGUAAUAUGUGAUAUUAUUAGUAUGUCUGCCACUGCCAAGCAUGGCCACUUCCUACAUGGUAUAGUAUUAUGUAUCUGUGUAUGCUUAUCUUCCUUUGUUUCUCAGUGAUUACUACUACGCUAUGUUUGUACAAUCAAAUGUUACUAAGCGGAUCAGAUCCUUGCAGGCUUCCACAAAGAGAUUUCCGCACGCUUCGCUCUUAAAAGGUUGCAUGAAAGGGCUAACGCAAAAGAAAACGAAGUUGUCUCUUAACUACAAGUUGUAACACGGACGAACUGUUAAAACAAUUCGGGAAAUUAUUCUUAUUUGCUCUGCAAGUUUGUUAUGGCAUUUUUUCUUUGUACACGCACGGAUGCCAAAGGAUUAUAACAGUAAAUAAAGAUGAACGUAACUAGCGGUUCUCCAUUCCCAAAUCA